rnacentral:rRNA from 1 species
CCUUUGAACGUAGUGAUUGGGUAAAACUGGUUGUGAAAUUCAAGGGAUCACAAUAUGAUAUUAAUUGGGGUUCCAGUUCAUUUACUGUGAGUAAAUUAGAGUGUUCAAAGCAGCCUGUAGGGGCAUUGAAUAGAUUAGCAUGGGAUAAUAAAAUAGGAUUCUUAUCUAUUUAUUGGUUUAUAGAUUUAGAAUAAUGAUUAAUAGGGAUAGUUGGGGGCACUUGUAUUCAAUAGUCAGAGGUGAAAUUCUAGGAUUUAUUGAAGACAAACUUCAGCGAAAGCAUUUGCCAAGGAUGUUUUCAUUAAUCAAGAACGAAAGUUAGGGGAUCGAAGACGAUUAGACACCGUCGUAGUCUUAACUAUAAACUAUGCCGACCAGGGAUAUGAGAGUAAAAAUUCAUUAUUUAUACUGUUAACUCAGUAUAAUCUCUUGUGCACCUUGUGAGAAAUCAUAAGUUUUUGGGUUCUGGGGGGAGUAUGGUCGCAAGGCUGAAACUUAAAGGAAUUGACGGAGGGGCACCACCAGGAGUGGAGCCUGCGGCUUAAUUUGACUCAACACGGGAAAACUUACCAGGUCCAGACAUUUGAAGGAUUGACAGGUUGAUAGCCCUUUCAUGAUUAGAUGGGUGGUGGUGCAUGGCCGUUCUUAGUUGGUGGAGUGAUUUGUCUGGUUAAUUCCGAUAACGAACGAGACCUCUGCCAUUAAAUAGAGAUGAUUAUAAGAAAUUAUAGUCAGAUAUAUUUCUCUUCUUAAUGGGACUUUUGGU